UACGUAGGGUGCGAGCGUUAAUCGGAAUUACUGGGCGUAAAGCGUGCGCAGGCGGUUAUGCAAGACAGAUGUGAAAUCCCCGGGCUCAACCUGGGAACUGCAUUUGUGACUGCAUGGCUAGAGUGCGGCAGAGGGGGAUGGAAUUCCGCGUGUAGCAGUGAAAUGCGUAGAUAUGCGGAGGAACACCAAUGGCGAAGGCAACCCCCUGGGCCUGCACUGACGCUCAUGCACGAAAGCGUGGGGAGCAAACAGG
rnacentral:rRNA from 1 species